CAAGGAAUUUUCGUCAAUGGGCGCAAGCCUGAACGAGCAACGCCGCGUGCAGGAUGACGGCCUUCGGGUUGUAAACUGCUUUUUCGGGGGACGAUGAUGACGGUACCCCGGGAAUAAGGCUCGGCUAACUCUGUGCCAGCAGCCGCGGUAAUACAGAGGAGCCAAGCGUUGUCCGGAUUGACUGGGCGUAAAGCGCACGCAGGCGGUCUGGCGCGUGGGGUGUGAAAUCUGGCCGCUUAACGGCCAGGCGCCAUCCCAUACGGCCGGACUGGAGCCAUGCAGAGGGCGGUGGAAUUGCCGGUGUAGUGGUGAAAUGCGUAGAGAUCGGCAGGAACACCCAGGGGGAAACCAGCCGCCUGGGCAUGCGCUGACGCUGAGGUGCGAGAGCGUGGGGAGCGAACCGG
rnacentral:rRNA from 1 species